rnacentral:misc_RNA from 1 species
AAGUCGUAACAAGGUUUCCGUAGGUGAACCUGCGGAAGGAUCAUUAACACGUAUCCAACGUUAAACCCCCCGCGUGGAAAUACGCAAUCCCUGGUAAAUCAUCGCCGAACAGUUUUGAUUCAGGGACUUCGUUGGUCUGGGUAAGAAGACGCGAGGCAAGUGGUCUGGCAUCCCUCUGCUUGUUAGUGUCUGAAAGUGUCACUAGCUCUGUAAGGAUGGCGCAGUAACGAUCGCUAGAGGCCGACACGGCCGGCGACUGGACCGCUGGGUUUUAACCGCUCUGAUCACCUUUGCAUGAAAACGGGCCUGCGCUUAAUUGCGCGGCCACCAAACUUCGAACAACUGUUAACAAUUGAUAUCUUGGUUCUC